rnacentral:rRNA from 1 species
GACGAACGCUGGCGGCGUGCCUAAUACAUGCAAGUAGAACGCUGAAGGAGGAGCUUGCUUCUCUGGAUGAGUUGCGAACGGGUGAGUAACGCGUAGGUAACCUGCCUGGUAGCGGGGGAUAACUAUUGGAAACGAUAGCUAAUACCGCAUAAUAGUAGAUGUUGCAUGACAUUUGCUUAAGAGGUGCAAUUGCAUCACUACCAGAUGGACCUGCGUUGUAUUAGCUAGUUGGUGGGGUAACGGCUCACCAAGGCGACGAUACAUAGCCGACCUGAGAGGGUGAUCGGCCACACUGGGACUGAGACACGGCCCAGACUCCUACGGGAGGCAGCAGUAGGGAAUCUUCGGCAAUGGACGGAAGUCUGACCGAGCAACGCCGCGUGAGUGAAGAAGGUUUUCGGAUCGUAAAGCUCUGUUGUAAGAGAAGAACGAGUGUGAGAGUGGAAAGUUCACACUGUGACGGUAUCUUACCAGAAAGGGACGGCUAACUACGUG